GACAAGUAAACCUCACCUCCGCCUUGCAAAAAGGAAAAGGUAGAAAUAUCACCUUCGCAUGGCACUCAUCAAGAUCGGCAUGGGAAGGAUUGUGUGUUUGAUGGCCUGUUCGUUCUUGCUUCUUGUUAUCUUUUCUUCGAACUCUGCGACCUGCCAGUCAUGUAGGAAGCCCUACUUUUAAUCCCACUAUUUUUUUUGGACAUUUUUAGUAUGUUUAUUUAUAUAUCCGACCAAUAUUCCUUACUGACAAUGCAUCGCAUGUGUAGGCUUCGGCGGCCACUGUCCACCUUGCUUCAGGCUUAAUGAGUUGAUGAAAUGCAAUUCUCAUGACUGCCGCAUCCUCUGCGAGAUGGAAGGGCAUGCAACUGAUCGUGCCUUCUGCAACAAAUUUUCAAUUCCUUGGAAGUGUUGCUGCCCACGUGAAUAAGUCCAUAACCUGAGCAACCAAAGAUUUUAUCAUGUCUGAUCGAAAUUAAAUAAAAUUUACUUUUCUGUUACCAAGCGACUCAUGG
rnacentral:lncRNA from 1 species